CUUCCUCCCAGAAGGAUGCUGGAGAGGCAAAGACCAACAAGUCUACCCUGGGGACCCAUGUGCCUGUCUUUCCUGCAAGGUCUGUUAAAGGUUAGUAGCAUAUUCAUGUCUGUAUUAUAAUACAACCCAAAACCUGAGGCAAAGAGAAGGAAUUUCCUGUUACUGUGAAGAACAGCAGAUAGAUAGUCUGCAUGGCCAGGGUAUACCAGGACCUGUCUUCUCUGUCUCCUGCCAAACCAUGUUUAGGGAGGUCUUGUGCUGCAAUGCUGUGGAAAGGAGCAGCCCUUGCUUUCCAUUCCAGCUGCUUUUGUUUGGACAGGUAAGUAUGGAUGUGAAUUCCUCCCUUCUGAAAAGGCCAGAAGAGCCUGUUCCAGGUGACAGGGAUACAAACUGAAAGGGCUUCUGUGGAUUUAAUGGGAAAGGCAUAUUUUAACAGCUGUUUUUGUUCCAGAAGACUGACUUGGCCUACAAGGAAAUGGAUGGGAAGCAGUACAGGCAAGAGGCAUGGAUGAGCUGCACAGCAUCUCAUAAUUCCUGGGCAGCAGCCUAGCCACAGGGCCUGUUUUCUGUCUUACAGCUUUCCAUGGGAUAAGGCCAUUCUUCUCACUGAGAGUUACACUUGGAGCAGGGAAGGAGAACAGGACUGCAAGGCCAGAUAGGAUUGUUUAGGUUGGACAAAGAUGCUUAGCCCUUCCUGGGCUGUGUAGCUUGAUGUAGCAGAUUGAAGUACAGAAACUCCCCAAAACCUGUUCUAAAACCUGGAGUGAACUCUUCUUGAAAGGCAGAGGUAGGAGAAGAGGCCAUCAGCAAGUCACCUGAACCACUCCCAAAGCCACAGGCAGCUGCAGGACCCGGAGAGAAGCCAAGCCAAAUGAGAAGAGGUUUUUGGACCGUGUAAGGACUCUACAGCAGCACGUUGUGCAGUGGAGGAAGGGCUGGUGUGAGGUGAGAGCCAAAACUGCACUGCCCUAUGCCAUGAAAACCAGUGGACGGGCUGCUGAAGGUUAAUACUGCUUUCCUAUGCACUCAGGAGAUCAAAAGGGGCUGCCUUAUGGGAUGCUUUAAGGAGAUGCCUUAUGUUCAGCCCCAUCCCAUCCCCCUGAGGUCCUCCCAGAGGACCCCUGAGGACAGCAGUGGGGGGCAGUGGUGCUUCAGCUUGAUGCCUCCUUCCCAGCUUCAUACUUAAUGGGCACUGGCUUUUCAACAUGGUGAAACCACACAGCAGCAAAUCCACAGCUGAGUAAGUCCACAGAGAACUGAUCUCGCCUACUUGCAAGAACCCAUGCUACAUUUGCUUCUGAUUCAACGGUGGAGAGGAAAAGGAAGGAAGAGGACAUUUUGGCGAAGGACCUGGCAGCACAGCAUGGAAGGUGAGGCUGAUCUGAAAGCAGUGCUCAAUUAGCCCAAGGCAACUGGGACCAAAUGCAGCAUCUUGAAGUUACUGUCUUCUCUUAGGUAGCUAAAGGACUAUCCUUUCUUAGGAUCAGAAACUUCCAGCUAUGUGGGCUUGCCUUCCAAAACUAUGCACAUAUCCAGACUCUUUCCAGCUGGGCGCACUCUUCUGGAGCUGAGAUUCUGGAAAGGACAAGCAGCUCUUCCCUUGUUUUACCUGAACAUAUCUGUAUGCUGCCUGCUCCUGUCCCACAUCCUAAUGCAUCUCCUUUGCUGCAGCACUGGGAUGUGGGUGCCCACUACAGCCCUUGUUUUAAGCCUCCUAGAAGAAAACUUGUAUGUGAAGGUUGGAGAGGGUCAUGCUUGUUCUGUGCUUUCUAACAAUCUCUCACUGGCAAGGGGCCACCCUGGAGUGUCCAAUUCCUUGUCAUUACCUAGAGAAAAGCUGGUUUUGCCUUCCUUUGGCUUUCUUAGAAGCUGGGCAUGAGGAAAGGUGCUCUCCUCUCCAAGGUGACAUGGUGCAAAUCCUCACACUAGCACCCAGUGGAUGUAGGACAGAGAAAGGCUUUCCAAUGCCACAUCAUAGUGCUGGUGCAUCACAGAAUCGUUUCACCAGGGUGCUGGAGUAUGUCUGCUCUUCCAGGAUGAGGAGGCAUAAGGCAAAAUCAGAGCAGGAUGAGCAGAGUGCUACUGAGUAAGUUAUUAGGGAAGAAAAAGCUGGUUUUCAGGUUCCAGAAUUUGGGAGCCCACAGCUUUUCCAUCACCUUGGGUUAGAAAGGGUGACAAAGUGGCCAUGGGCUGGAGUUUCCAGCUAUCUUUGUUGAUUCCAAGGGGAAAGAUGUAUAUGCUGAAGCCUGACCAAAGCCCCUCCUGGAGGAUCCAUUUCCUGGGAACUCUCACUUUGAUGGCUGUGAAAUCCAUAACGUUUUUCUUCUUGUAUCUGGGAAACUGCAGUUGAGCUCCUGUGGGGCUGGUCUUUGCUUAAAUAAAUUACAGUAAAAAUAACUCCCAAAUGCAACACCAACAUGGGCACGUAAAUCAAAGUCUGGCGUGCCCAUUAAGGUAAAGUGUCUCCUUCUGCAGGAGCUGUCUGUGGAAGUGCCAUCCUGAAAGUGAAAUCCAACUGAGAGGGAGGAGGUAAGGUCCCAUCAAGAUAGGACUCACAAAUCCAUCAGCAGCUUCACUUCAGAAGAGAUACAAGGCUUUAACAGGGCUGUCAGCAGCAUUCUUCAGGUCACACUGCUGCAUAAAAGAGAGUGUUAGAACCUGGGACUUAAACUAAACAGAUUUCCUAUAGGAAACACACACAAAAUUACAUUGCUUCUAAAGUUACUUUUAUAGACAUUUUCCCUGAGAAAUAUUUCUCCCUGGAAAAAUAAAUUCACAGGAUGUAAUUAAAACAGUUCUAUGUGUACACUGGACUGGCCCCCUUUAAGUGCUUCACCAAAUGCACCACUAAAUAAAGGAAUGAAAGCCAGCUUUGUUUAACUCUAUUAAUAACAAUAUGUAUUAAUUAUAAAAUGAGACAUUGUCCUGCCUGGUUUAUGGUUAUGAAAAUAGCUUUUAAUAAGGCUGAGACUGGAGUGCUCAGCUUUGCAGUUGUCUGCACUGUUAAUAGGGCUUUCAAAAUCUCCCCUAAUCUACUUCUUUUACUUGUCAAAUCCUGGCUUGAUAAAGGCAAUGGGGAUCAGAUUCCACACCCCAUGGAUUCUGGCAAUAACCAGGUGCUGAUGACUGUAAUCUUUUCUGCUUUUCUUGCCAUUUAGCUUUGGUUAAACAAAAAGGGGCAACUGCAUUGUAUUAGUUUAACUUCCAUGCUUUGGGGAACAAAGCCUGAAGAGAUUUGUACUGAUCUAUCACUGCAUUAAAUGCUCCCAAAUCUGCUUGGAUAAUUAGGGAUAAUGAUUCCCUCCAUACCUGCAUGGCCCAGUCCAGCCACAUGUGGGAAAGAAAGGCAGUCUGUUCAUGAGGCCCUCAGUGCCAUGGGUUAGUGGUGGCCUUGGCAGUGCUGGGGAAUGGUUGGACUUGAUGAGCUUAAAGGUCUUUCCCAACCUGGUUGAUUCUAUGGUUCUAUGAUUCUCUUUAUAGCCCACCUAAAACACUCUUGAGAGGCUAUUGUGUCUUUCUUUUCCAUUUGUCACACCAGGACUGUGUAAUGGGAUGCUCCUCACCUGAGGAAGGGAUGCUGGUGUUACUAAACAUGGGCUGAGGUAGCCUGAUGCCCUAGAGAUGCUUCUUCUGUGGUGGCAUCUUGUGAUGCUGCCUGUCAGCCCCUAGGAGAUUCAUUGCAGAGGGUCAUGGCUCUGCCAUUUCAGGGAGUGAUUUGGAAGAUCAAGGGAAGUGUUUGCUGGGCUCUAGUGGAGGAACAUCCUUGCCUGCCCUUUUUCCCUGUAUCCUCUCUACACAGGCCAUCUCUCACACUGGAGUUCAUUAUACCCAGUUGUGUACCUUUUGGGUUUAGUUUGGUUAGUUCAUGUGACCUUUUAUUCUUUCUCAGAAGCUAAAACCAAAAAUUACACCUUUAUACCAGCGUCAACAUAGCUAUAGAAUGGGUUUGACUGCUAUAUUGCUGUCCUGGUCUCAGAGCAGCUUCCAAUAUCUGAAGGGGCCUACAAGGCUGCAGAGAGGGACUCUUCAUCAGGGACUGUAGUGAUAGGACAAGGGGUGAUGGGUUCAAACUGAAACGGGAAGUUCAGGUUGGAUCUAAGGCAGAAGCUCUUCCCUGUGAGGGUGCUGAGGCACUGGCACAGGGUGCUCAGAGAAGCUGUGGCUGCCCCAUCCCUGGCAGUGUUCAAGGCCAGGUUGGGCACAGGGGCUUGGAGCAACCUGCUCUAGUGGAAGGUGUCCCUGCCCACGGCAGGGGGUUGGAACUGGAUGAGCUUUAAGGUCCCUUUAACACAACCCAGUCUAGGAUUCUGUGAUUCUAUGUCCUAUGAAUAUAUGUAUUCUAUUCUGUGAUUUUCAUGUCCUUCAGGCACAACUGGCCAGGUUUUGUGUCUCUCUCUGCAGCACACAAGGUGAUGGUUAUAAUGCAUCUCCAGCCCGGGACUUCUUUAUUGAGUGGAGAGGGCUCAAUUCAAUAAAUAUACAUCCGGCUCCUUCGCAGUCCUAGGCUGGCUUAAUGAAACUGCGAGGCACUUCCAAGAGAAGGAUGUUUAUUUUUCUCUGCUGAUUCAGUUAGGCUGGUCCAGCUCUUGUGUGCCCAGAGAGCUGCUCUAUAAAGAGACCCUUGUGAUUGCAGCGGGGAUGCUGUGUCAGGCAGUAAGUGCCUGCACUCACUCAACACUGGGAUUCGCUUGCUGCAGGGAAGGGGGUGCGGGCGGACGGCUGGAUUUGCUAUACAUAAUGCAUGGGGAGAAAAAAGCCUGCUAAGAGCACAGUGUUAAGGUGGGAAAGUCAAGCACUUGCAAGGCAGAUAGAGCUAGAGCUGUCUGGAGAGCAGGCUUAAUUCAUCUGUUUAUGGGAGCACAUUAUGAAACACGCUCCCAUUUUUGCAUAGUCCUGUGCUUGUUUCUUAGGUAAUAGCAUUUUCUACCUUUUGCCAGAACUUGCCACCUUCAAAGAGUACUUUUUCCAUAGAUAAUCCAACACCACAAAGAUCCCAAUGCCUGUUCCUAGCUGGAAGCAGCAGUGAAGUCAGGCAGCUCCAAAAGGAAGGUGGAGAUGUAGAUACUGCCAUGGAGGACCUGGUUGCUCUGCAAAACCCAACCAAGUGUUUCCAUUACUACAGCUGCUUAUCCCUUCAGCUGAGGACAGAGGCAGUAUGCUGCAGGCUGGAAAGGGUGUCCAUCCAUCUACAGGCUGCUGUCAGCUCUUGGAAAAUACUCAGAUUUUGAUGGGAAAAUACAACUGGGAACUUUUUCCCCCCCUUUGUUUUUGCCUUUUGAACAACUUUUGUUGCCACUUGUGUGGAAUUGUCAGAAAUACCUUGAGGAAAAGCAAAUGCAGGAAAAAAGAGAAGAGCUGUAACAGCUUGGGAGGAGAAGAGUUUAUUUCAUAGAUCAUAGAAUCACAGGAUAGUUUGGGUUGGAAAGGCCCUUAAACCUCAUCCAGUUCCAACCCCCUGCUACAGGCAGGGAUACCUUCCACUAGAGCAGCUUGCUCCAAGCCCCAUCCAACCUGGCCUUGAACACUGCCAGGGAUGGGGCAUCCAAAUACUUGUAAGCAUGUUUGCUCCAUGAGCUGGGGGCCUGCGGCCAAGGUAUGUGCUGCCACCCUCUUUCAGCCUAACCCACACCUCUCUGAGUACAACCAGGAUGAAAUGCAACCUUUUAUGGAGCAAGUUUUCCUUAAGGGUGUCAUUGCAUGGUGAAGCCAGUGUAAUCUUCCCUCUGGGACCACCUUGGGGCUGGCAUGCUCCAUGCAGGACUGACUGUGCUGCUCAGCUGGGAGCAGCAGGUGUACUGGUCAUCUGUCUCAUUUUGUGCCAUGCUGAAGCUGAGAGCAUGUCUGUAAGUACAGAAAUACAUAACAAUUUGUGGAGAAGAGAGACUGUGGUUAAAUGGAGGCAUUUGCUGCAAGAACUGAAUGAACCUCAAAUCGUGAGUGAUCCAGACACUGGUGUUCCAGUUUCAUCUGGCCUGUUUACCCUCACUUUGUUCCUCUCUGCUUUGUCCAUGGGGACAAAUACCAUAUUACAAGUAAACACGCUACAUCCUCUGCUGCCCUUCCUUGCCUGUCUGCACUUUCCCCAUGGGAGAAGAGAGAAGAGCCAGUUCUGCAUGACACAGUGAGUAAACAAAUCUAUUUUAAAGACAGAUUGUGCUAAGCAGGAGUGGCCUCUCCCUAAGAGCUUUGAAAACUGGCAUUGCAUUCCUGCUGGGAAAGCAGUAAAGUACAAAGGUUUCUGUCCCUUGCACUAACUAUCCCCUUGUGCACACAGGCAUUAUGGCUUUUGGUCUGGGGCCAUGUGUAUGAAAGCCCAUGGACUAACAUGCCUUUUUCCUCUGGAUGAGACCAGCAAUCCAACACCACACUUUGCAGCUGGAAGAGCUCAUUAAAUCUAGUCCCAUUAAAUCUGUGGGGGCUGCAGACGACGCAACAGCUAAGAAAGCUGUUCUGGUCUGUCUUGUGCUAUAUUCAGGCACAUCAACGGGGAACUGAGAUGUAUGUGGCUGCUCCCCUGCUCAUGAUCAGACACAGAGGGUCAGUAGCUAGAUGCAGUUGUACAUUGGAAACCAAGAAGGGAACACAGAGGAGCACAAUGUGGUGGGUCUCUUCUGCUGGGAUGCCUGCAAACCCAGCGAAGGCAUCUCCCAAAGAGUGGCCAGUCCUGAGCCCAUACCAAUCCUAGAAAGCCUUUCAUAAACACAGGGAAGCCAAGCUGAGGGCUGGAGUUCCACCUGUCCCCACUGUCUAGUUCCCAGAUCUGGUCCCUUUGACUCAAGGAGAGCCAAAGGCACAGGGUGCCCAGAGAAGCUGUGGCUGCCCCAUCCCUGGCAGUGUUGAAGGCCAGGUUGGACGCAGGGGCUUGGAGCAACCUGCUCUAGUGGAAGGUGUCCCUGCCCAUGGCAGAGGUUGGAACUGGAUGAGCUUUAAGGUCCCUUCCAACCCAAACCAUUUUG